rnacentral:rRNA from 1 species
AUUGAACGCUGGCGGCAGGCCUAACACAUGCAAGUCGAACGGUAACAGGAAGAAGCUUGCUUCUUUGCUGACGAGUGGCGGACGGGUGAGUAAUGUCUGGGAAACUGCCUGAUGGAGGGGGAUAACUACUGGAAACGGUAGCUAAUACCGCAUAACGUCGCAAGACCAAAGAGGGGGACCUUCGGGCCUCUUGCCAUCGGAUGUGCCCAGAUGGGAUUAGCUAGUAGGUGGGGUAACGGCUCACCUAGGCGACGAUCCCUAGCUGGUCUGAGAGGAUGACCAGCCACACUGGAACUGAGACACGGUCCAGACUCCUACGGGAGGCAGCAGUGGGGAAUAUUGCACGAUGGGCGCAAGCCUGAUGCAGCCAUGCCGCGUGUAUGAAGAAGGCCUUCGGGUUGUAAAGUACUUUCAGCGGGGAGGAAGGGAGUAAAGUUAAUACCUUGGCUCAUUGACGUUACCCGCAGAAGAAGCACCGGCUAACUCCGUG